CAUUGAAAGAGGAUUCUCUGAGGAAUGCUGCAGACAAUAGUAAAGACUUUGGAAUUCCAGCUUCUGAAUGAGCUUGUAUAGUGGUUUACCAGGCUUGGUGUCUGCUUUGCCACUGGUAUGCCUGAGCACCAACAGCAAGCUGCUCAAGGAAGACAGAAAAAAGUCUAUAAUUGAGGUCCUAGUUCAUGUUCUUCAGAUCCUAAAAGAAAGAAUACUUGUAUUUCAGGAAGAGCUUAAAAGAUAUUCAUGACCUUGAAUUGGUGUUUAUUUCUGAAACAAAAGAAAAAUGAGAGAGGAAUCCAAAGAGACUCUCGUCAGGAGGGAGAUUUGCUCUAUGUGGAUUUCUAGAAGUAAUAUACUGAUGACAUUAGAAAUGACUCUGGAAUAAUAAUCUGAAGGAUUAUACAUUUGAGAAAAAUGAAGAGAAUAUUUAGUACAAAGGAUUUUUGAAUGAUGUAUCUUAUGAAGGCAAGACAAGACUAUGUAUUUCUAAGGUUCUUACUGUGCUGCUCACUGUAGUCUCAAACUCAUCUCUGAAACCAUGCUGCCUCUUCACAUCUUGAGAAGCUAAUGGUACAGAUGCAAACCACAACAUUCAGCUGAUGGCCACAGAGUUUGUUCCUGCUCCUUGCUCUGGACCCCUCAACCCCCUUCUCCUCUGCGUGUCCACUUCCCUUCAGAAAAGAACAGGCCUCUCAGUGAUAUCAAUUGCACUUGGCAUAGCAAAAUUGCAGUAAGGUCUGGGUUUUGGAGGAAGGUUUAACCGUAAUUUUUCUUUUGCAAACACAUGUUUUUAUAUUUUAUUUUCUCUUCCCUGUCUGCCUGUACCAUUCAUUCUAUGAACUCCAUCAAGGCACAAGAAUAUUUGAAAAUCACUUAUCUCUCAGUGGCAUCAGAUUACUGUUUUGUACUCUCACUGAAAUAAAUGUACUCACUAAAUUUCCUUGUCACUCUCUAAAAAUGAAUAUCCAUUGAAUUGACCUGCCAAUAUCUCAUUAGCAUUAUGUUUUCACCAAUCACUUUUCUGUGGUGCAUUCUGUGUGUUUAUGAAAUUAAACUGCUUUGUCUGUGUUGCUCUUUGCAUUCAUAAAACCAUUUUCAAUUGCAUAUAUUAUAUAUUUUGAAGGACUCCUUUGUCCUAUGUAAUUUUAUAAUCUCCAAGUCUUCCUUCUAGUGGCACCUAUGAGUGGGAAAUACUUUUGUGAGAACUGAUGGUUAAUUAUAGUACAGUAGAAAAAUAUUACAUUCCUUUGAAGUAACAAAGGAAGAAGACAAAUUCAUCCUAAAAUAAUGCAUUGAUCACAAA